AGGACGAACGCUGGCGGCGUGCUUAACACAUGCAAGUCGAGCGAGGCCCUUCCUUCGGGGAGGUGCCCUAGCGGCGAACGGGUGAGUAACACGUGGGCAACCUGCCCCUAGCACUGGGAUAACUCCGGGAAACCGGGGCUAAUACCGGAUAUGACCUUGGAGGGCAUCCUCCUUGGUGUAAAGGAUUCUGGCUAGGGAUGGGCCCGCGGCCUAUCAGCUUGUUGGUGGGGUAACGGCCUACCAAGGCGACGACGGGUAGCCGGCCUGAGAGGGCGACCGGCCACACUGGGACUGAGACACGGCCCAGACUCCUACGGGAGGCAGCAGUGGGGAAUAUUGCACAAUGGGCGAAAGCCUGAUGCAGCGACGCCGCGUGAGGGAUGAAUGCCUUCGGGUUGUAAACCUCUUUCAGCAGGGACGAAGCGAAAGUGACGGUACCUGCAGAAGAAGCACCGGCCAACUACGCGCCAGCAGCCGC
rnacentral:rRNA from 1 species